rnacentral:rRNA from 1 species
UGGGGAAUAUUGGACAAUGGGCGAAAGCCUGAUCCAGCCAUGCCGCGUGUGUGAAGAAGGUCUUCGGAUUGUAAAGCACUUUAAGUUGGGAGGAAGGGCAUUAACCUAAUACGUUAGUGUUUUGACGUUACCGACAGAAUAAGCACCGGCUAACUCUGUGCCAGCAGCCGCGGUAAUACAGAGGGUGCAAGCGUUAAUCGGAAUUACUGGGCGUAAAGCGCGCGUAGGUGGUUUGUUAAGUUGGAUGUGAAAGCCCCGGGCUCAACCUGGGAACUGCAUUCAAAACUGACUGACUAGAGUAUGGUAGAGGGUGGUUGAAUUUCCUGUGUAGCGGUGAAAUGCGUAGAUAUAGGAAGGAACACCAGUGGCGAAGGCGACCACCUGGACUAAUACUGACACUGAGGUUCGAAAGCGUGGGGAGCAAACA